GGAUGCGAUCAUACCAGCACUAAAGCACCGGAUCCCAUCAGAACUCCGAAGCUAAGCGUGCUUGGGCGAGAGUAGUACUAGGAUGGGUGACCUCCUGGGAAGUUCUCGUGUUGCAUUUC
rnacentral:rRNA from 1 species